rnacentral:rRNA from 1 species
UACGUAGGGGGCUAGCGUUGUCCGGAAUCAUUGGGCGUAAAGAGCGUGUAGGCGGUCCGGUAAGUCCGCUGUGAAAGUCGGGGGCUCAACCCUCGAAUGCCGGUGGAUACUGUCGGGCUAAAGUGCGGAAGAGGCGAGUGGAAUUCCUGGUGUAGCGGUGAAAUGCGCAGAUAUCAGGAGGAACACCUAUUGCGAAGGCAGCUCGCUGGACGUUACUGACGCUGGAGACGCGAAAGCGUGGGGAGCAAACAGG